UUAGCUAUUUUAGAUAGGUUUGUAUUCAUGACAUUCAUGGGUGCAAACACAACGUUUGUAUCUAUGAUGGCUAAGGAUGUUUGAGAUGACUUGUCCGCCACAUAGAUGAAAAUCUAUAGUGGCUUUUUUGUUAGAAUUGGUGAAGGCCCACUGUAGAUUUGUCUACGGCGGGCUUUUUUUAUACCUAAC
rnacentral:ncRNA from 1 species